GCCCCGGCUAACUCCGUGCCAGCAGCCGCGGUAAUACGUAGGGGGCAAGCGUUGUUCGGAAUUAUUGGGCGUAAAGGGCUCGCAGGCGGUCCAUUAAGUCUGACGUGAAAUCCCUCGGCUCAACUGGGGAGGGUCAUUGGAUACUGGAUGGCUUGAAUUCGGGAGAGGGAUGCGGAAUUCCAGGUGUAGCGGUGAAAUGCGUAGAUAUGUGGAGGAACACCGGUGGCGAAGGCGGCUUCCUGGUCCGUAAUUGACGCUGAGGAGCGAAAGCCAGGGGAGCAAACAGGAUUAGAUACCCCGGUAGUC
rnacentral:rRNA from 1 species